rnacentral:rRNA from 1 species
GAUAAACGCUGGCGGCGCACAUAAGACAUGCAAGUCGAACGGACUUAACUUCAUUCUUUACGAUUGAAGAGCGGUUAGUGGCGGACUGGUGAGUAACACGUAAGCAACCUGCCUAUCAGAGGGGAAUAACAGUGAGAAAUCAUUGCUAAUACCGCAUAAGCUGAUAAUAUCGCAUGAUAUAGUCAGAAAAGGAGCAAUCCGCUGAUAGAUGGGCUUGCGUCUGAUUAGCUAGUUGGUGGGGUAACGGCCUACCAAGUCGACGAUCAGUAGCCGACCUGAGAGGGUGAUCGGCCACAUUGGGACUGAGACACGGCCCAAACUCCUACGGGAGGCAGCAGUGGGGAAUAUUGGGCAAUGGGGGAAACCCUGACCCAGCAACGCCGCGUGGAGGAAGAAGGUUUUCGGAUCGUAAACUCCUGUCCUCAGGGAAGAGCAGAAGACGGUACCUGAGGAGGAAGCCCCCGGGCUAACUACGUGCCAGCAGCCGC